CUUUUCCGACUGGCUCCUAUGGGAGGGGGGAGAAGGAAGGGAUUAACUUGGUUCUGGGCCACUGUCUGGUCUGGUUUGAUGCCCUCUUACUUUACUGGCCCCUCUCUUCUCCCUGACUCUCACUCUUCUCCACCCUGCCUCAGCGGCCUCCCAAGCCCACCCUGCAUUCUACUGGAAAUCUGGAGCAUGCGGCCACAAGGUGAAGACUCUGGCCACAGGCAGAAGAGCGGUCCUGGGGAGGAAGACGGGGGCGGUAUGUGUGUGAGGCCGAAGCUGGAGGGCCCGGCUGAUUCCAAGGGUCAGGAGCAGAGUAAGGACCAGGACAAUGGCGUUUGGCAAAGAUGGAACCAAGCUCCCACAGGAAACACUGAUUAAUACGGGACUGAAAAAGGCUCCUCAGAGCGAAGGUUUAGAUUUCUCCCCAAAGGAGCCCCACUCUGUCCUCAGCGUGCAUUCGGGGGAUCCUGCAUGCACCCUUUCUAUCCACCCCAGGAAGCCCUCACCUCAGCCCUGCUACCCACCUUGCCAUGCUCAGUCUCGGCAGUGACUUUGCCACCUUCUCGAGACACGAUCUUAGCCUUGACAAAUUCCUCUUUGUCAUCAGGCACGAAGACAUCCUUCUUGAGGUCGAAAGGCCUGGUUUGGGCUUCCAGCCGCUCUUUCUCUGACUUGCGCAGGUAGGGGGCAGCAGCCCCAAAGGCGGCCAUCUCCGAAUC